GAAGGAAGAAAACAGAUUUUUUUAAUGAAGUUUGGGCAUUGAAAUAUUAUCUAUUUCUGCUAAAGGAAGUAAUCUUUCCUUACUCAAUAGUGUGCCAGUCAGCCACAAGUUUUGCUUUGACCAAUGGAAUAUGGGCAAAUGUGACAAGCUGCCAGCUUUCAGUAAAAGCUGUAAAAGGAAUGAACAAGAGGAGAGACUGCCUCAGAAAUUCUGUGUUCACUCUAGUGGAGCUAAGAACAGUGAAGAGGAAGAAGAUGUAAGUGUUCGGAUCCUACCCACUCACUGAGUCACAGAAUUAUAGAGUUGGAGCCUUACCAACCCCCACUCUACUCUAGAUAUUAACAAUGACAAAAAUUUUCACCAAGUCUUUGGGAACCAUCAGGUUCCUUAUUCAGAAAAAGUGCCUCCUCU